GACGGAAAGAGUGAGUGUUAUCCACAAGGACUGGGCGUACAGGGUAUCUAGGCAGUAUGAAAGGUUGAGAGUUAAUUCCUGAGUUAGAGCUUUUGGUGCUCUCUUUACCCUUAUUACUAGAUGUUGCUAAAGUAGAUUUUAUUUGUAGAGGAGGGGUGAAUCCUAUUAUACUACGGAGGGAGCCAAUGGUGAAGACAAUCUACAAGUGUAACUUGACGCUGAGCUACGAAAGCAUGGGGAAUCAAUCGG
rnacentral:rRNA from 1 species